UGGGAAACAUUUUAUUAAAACAAAUUUUCUUACUCAAGUUACCACUUAAGAAUCAUACACUUUGUUGAAUAUACAAACAAAUAUGCGAGUAUGUAUAGCAACAUUUGAGUAUAUUUGCUGUGUGUAUACACGUACCUAAGUGGUAAUAAUUCAUUAAGGAAUCAAUUUAAAAGCAGGUACUCAAGCCGACAACUGUUUAUUUUUUAAUUGAUUUCCAUUACGAAACCGCUGCGUGUAGCUUUCCUAACUGUAAAAUGAAAUAAAAAACUGUUUGGUAUAUGGUGUCAUUUAUGCGUAAAUAAAAUAAGUUUAUAAAAGUUAAAGUUAUAAUAAAUUUUGUGAAAAAGUGUGAAAAUAACACUCGGCACAACACUCGGCAGGAUAUAAAGAAAUGUAUUCUCCGAAUUUCGAAUUGCCUCCAAUAUCGAAAUACAGUGGAACUUCUCUAACUCGAAUCAACAUAAUCCACAAAAAAAAAACUUCGAGUUAGACACACUUCGAGUUUUUAAAAAUUUAAUGAAAACGUAAAAUUUUCAAAAAGCUGUAAAAUAUAGAUUUACCCAUAGUUUUAGUUAUUUACUUCGCAAAAAGUUUAUUUAAAUACGUUUAAACAACGUUUAUUCUGUAAUUUUGUUUGUUGCACUUUGCUAUUGUUUGGCUCUUGACGUUUGUAUCUCAUGCCUUUGUUACACGAUUUAUGUAACAUCUAUAAGUGUAGUAUCAUAUCUUUUGUUCGCUUCCAUAUGAAUAUAGGGACUCCUUUAAAAUUGUUUCUUGAUAGUAAAAUUUUAAAUUUUGUGUUAUGCCCUGGUGGAAAAGUUUGACUUAUGGAACAAAAUUUGUAUGAAAUUUAACUUCUAUUGCCAAUGGAGAAAUUCGAGGAUAUUUCAUCAUAUCAUUGGUAAAGUUUUAACCUCUGUUUCAAUAUUUUUGUGACAUUUAGAUUAUCUUUUCUAUAACCAAAUUAUAUGAUGGCGUUCAAAACAGCAUUAUUGUGGGCUUUAUCGAUUUACAAACUUUUGACUAUGUUAAAUUAGAAUAAAAUUUAAAUUUAUCAUAAACGUAAACCUUUUCCGUUACUAAAAAAACAUAUUAAACUAAUAGAGGGGUUCGAUCUUUUUCGACUUCAUUAAAACCACAGUUAACACAAGUACUAAAUAUGUAUCAUAUAUUUUAUUGUUCUGAUAAUAAUAAUUAUUAUUGUAUUAAUAUACAGUUUAGUCAAUGUAUGAUUAAGCCGAGUUUUAUUUUACUUAGCACCCUCUUUAUUUGCUAGUUACCCUUAGCACCCUUUUAAGUCACGAUUCUAAUUUGAAUUACAGUAUGAAUACUUAGGCAAAUAUGUAGAUAAAUAAUUUCAGCAUUCAAAUUGAAUUGUUUUUAUUGUAACGUUUACUUUAAAAAAAUAAACUUGGUAAUUACAUGCUAAAUUUAAAUAUUUAUUUUUACACAAUAAUAAAUAUCGCACCCAAUAAUAAAUAACCUAAUAUUAACAUUUGUAUGUAUAAUACUAUAUAGAGUAUAACUAUUCAAUUUGAAUAGGUGGAAUUGUAAAAAAAGCUUUCGUAGGGUAAUUCUUAAUAAGACUAGCUUAAGUGUGCUACUACCAGGAUCACGAGUUCUUAUAAACCCAAUAAUUGGGCAACGGAAUAUUAAAAAAUAUGUCAUGUUAAUAACAUCUUCUAAAAACAAAUCUCCUAGACUAUUAAAGCGGAAAUAUUUUUUUCCAUAGAUGAAACCAUUCUUUAGUGUGUUCUUAUAUGUAGUCUGUUC